UGAUACCAUAGCUUGAAUUUGCUCAUUCAAAUAGAGAGUACUAUUGGAGUAAUGUGUAAAACAAUUACUAAAGAAUUUUAUAAGAGAAGAUUUUAUUCCAGUGGAGCGAUGAAAUCCGUAGAGAUCGGAAGGAACAUCAAAGGCGAAAGCACUCUGCUGAUUCGACCCUGAGAGAAAGCUAGGGGAGCGAAUGGGAUUAGAGACCCCAGUAGUACACCUAGCCCCAAACAAUGGAUACCAGGCGGCUGUGCGUAUCGACCCGUGCAAUGUUAUUGCUAACGCACUAAGCAUCCCGCCUGGGGAGUACAUUCGCAAGAAGGUACACGUGAUAGAUUUACCUCUUCAUGGAAGAAGGUACACUUGAUCAAGAGCAGGAUUGACAGAUUUCUUAU
rnacentral:ncRNA from 1 species